ACCUCGCCUAAAAUUAGCAGACAAGGGAAAUUGUUUACAUACGCAACACAUUUUAUCAAUGGUGUCUUGAUAAGUUCAUUUCUAAAAUGAUGUAACCAAUUAAUGUAGCUACUAUAUGUUCUAUAGCACUCGCCAGCUUGUAGUCCUAAAAAAACAGAAAUUAGUUACCUCUGGUUCUUCAGCCUUUCUCAUUGGGGAAUGGGAUUUGGGAUAAACAACUAAAAUAAAGGUCUGAGGUUAACACAGGCUUAGGAGAUCUUAUAUGUUUUGUUCUAUGGCAUAAUAGACAGUUAAUAUGAACUUUAGGAAUUGUGAAGCCUUUAUAUGUUGGUUUUGAUUACAAAAGUGAGUUAGCUGAUGAAGAUUCUCAGAACAAAACGUAUCAAAUCUCCUAAGCCUGGGUUUCCCAUAUACCUAGUUUUCUGUGUUUAUCCCCAAAAAUAUAUAUACACUAAUUGCAACAAAAUAAAUCAAAUUGAUUUCCCCGUAGGGUUUGGCCAAUGAGCAGGGUUGCCAUGUCUGCGGUUGUCUUGCAAAAUUGGGCUACUUUGAAAACAAUGUUGUGGGUGAAAAUGUAUUGGUCGCGGGUUGCAGGUUUUUGGGCUACUUCUAAAUAGCAUUUCUCUUUAAUUAUUUUUAAUUUUUAAAAUUUCACUGUUACCUGCUACUGCUGACAAUCAGGUAGUGAGGCAGGCUGUUGUUGAGUGCGUGAGUAGAGUGGUGGGGAGGGAGGGGUGGGCCGGAGUUGAGAGAGAGCUGCAGCAGGUAGUCAUGACAAGUGAUGUGAGAAAAACAUACUUCUCCCUCAUAAUUCAUAUUUGCCUCGUUUGUUGUAUCCUGACCACCCCAAGACCUACCAAUCAUUACUAGAGACAACACAGGAAAGGUGAGAAACUGAGAAAAUCAUCCAACAGUUUCAGAGAGAGGAUCGAAUGAUGUACUUUCUCUCUGGAUAUGUAGCAAAGGCUCGAAAUUUAGGUUGUCCCGUCGACGAUUUUUUUAAAAAUGUAGUUCUGAGACGAUAGAUCCAAAACACAUACAACUACUGUACAAUUUUAAAAGCAAUGAGGCAAAUGCGCAACAUAUCAGAAGGUUUGGCUUAAAAUGUUGAUAAACUAUUAUUUUGUUCACAUACGCACAGAAAUGCACACGCAGAAGUAGCCUAGGGUACACGUGAAUGUUCCAAAAUGCAAUUAGCAGGAACGCAGUUCUACAAAAAUAAAGAUAUAAAAAAUAAAUGCACUGCACAUGUGAGCAGGUUUGAUGUGACAAAGAUGAAAAAAGCAGUUAGAAAUUUAGAACGAGGUGAAAUCUAAAGAUGCAACAACUAGCUUGGGUUACUAAUAUGACUAGGAUGUGGUCUUCUGGAAAAUAGAGAAAGUUGAUUUGAAAACCAAUAGAACAUAGAAAUGCUGGUUUCUAUGGCAUAAGGGCGUUUUUAUAAACAAUUCCCUCAACAUUUCUAUGAUCUGAUUUUGGAUAUAGGGUACUUUGAAACAAGCUAAGAUAUGCCUAAAAAAGGACAACUUCCAGGUUUCAAACAAUUACCUUCAUGGUUAAAUAGUUUCAAAAUGCUGACUGCCUCCAUUCAGAUUUCAAGGUGUGUGCAGUGCGUAACAGGCACUGUCCUUCACUCUCCGCUCGUGACCAAUGAUCUAAACUAACUGUGCCUCGAGAAAGCUAUGUCAACAGAAUCAAACCUUUAAACGUUAAUGUGUUAAAUAUCCUACUUGAUAAAUGUCAAACAUGACUGGCGUUCAGCCUAUAUUUAAGUCUCAUUAAAGUUUACCUACAUUUUCUAGUGUCCUAGUGCCUUUUAAAUCACUGUGACCUAGGUCCUAGAGUAGGUCCAUGUUGGCAUAUCAAUGUUUAUUUUUUUACAAGUAUUUUAUUAUGAGACGUUCAUCUUCAGUUUGGGACAGUUUAAAUUGCACUUCCGGAUGAUUCUGGGACAGUGAUGAAAAAAGUUAGUCGAGCCUAGCCGACUCAAUUCCACAAUUAACGAUGGAGCUGAGCAGCAACUAGUGUGGGCGGACUGGAGCUCCGAUGUCACAUAAAAUGAAGUUGUAUGAAAAACGACUGAUUUCAGCAUCCAAAGAAUAGCCCACCCGCAAUUAACGGAGCUCCAGUCCCCUCACACUAGUCGCCACUCAACUAAUAUAACGCAUGCUCCACUCUCAAGUUGAACUUGUUGACUGAUGCCAAGGUGGAGGCUGCAGUUGCAGACCAGAAGACUGCAGCCAAGGCAGCACUGAUCCACACCUGCCCUGUCUGUUGGGUGAGUAGUGUUUGUUGGUACUGUAUGUGCUUUUAGGUUCCUCUCCAUGUGUAGGCUAUUGGACUGGACUGUGUGGCAGUCUAUUAUAUGUGUAGUAGUUUGUUGAAUCAUAUUGCUUAGUUUAUCAUUUGUGUAAACUUUCAAGUCAAUCGAAGCCACAGAUUAACUUCCUCCAUGUUGUACUUGACCUUUACAGACACAGACCCGAAGACAUUCAAGAAGAACUUUGAGUAAGCAUCCCAAGUCUCCAAUGGUUCCAGUACUGGUUGAUGUACAGGCCUAAGUGACCACACACUCAAAUGGACCUACAGCUGGGACACACAAUGACCACAAUUUGAAGGCUGUAACAGAGACGGAAUGAUGUCGAGGGACGCGCCCUGAGACCCCGAGUAUAACUGGACAUGGGCCGGAUAUGUGACAACGACCUAAAAGGGGUGCAGAAGCAAACCAUUUUAUAUUUAUUACAUGGCCAACAAUCCCUCUAGCUACCCCUUAUUCCAUAUAGCUUUUUUUGCCCCCUGGUCCCUCAACUUUGGACCUCUGCAUCUUCUCUAUAAACCCACCCUACCUUCACCCAUUUUCCCUAUGCUGCUUCUUUCACUUGUUGUUCUCCUGAUUUGAUAACAUCAAGACUCAGUAACACAUUUAAAAGUGUUGCUGUGUACUACUGUUUUUGCUACUUUUCACUUCAGUAAUGCUGUCCUGCUGCUUAUUCUGGGGUUUUGACAAUGCAAUGUCAAAUGUGCUGCUCACAAUUGACAGCAGAAAAAUGUACCUGUUAAAUUGACAAGAAGAGUGUUGAUAUAACUGCGUUUAGGCAUGGCUACCUUGUUUUGAGUCUUAAGUGCGUUUCUCAUUCUACUUGAGUUGACACAGUAUUUUAUAUUUAACCUACCUUAGCCAUUUUUUUCUCCAUUUGUAACUCAACCACCAUAAAUCACAAUCUGCUGUUUUACAUUGUGUUAUUUGUGAUGGUCUAAUUCCCAAAAUGGACAAGCAGAAUAAUCUGUGUGUGCUCGGAUAGUAAUAAUAGUUAAUAUGGUGCUCUUCGAUGUCCCAGGUUUGUGGCAUUGACUAAUAAAUAAUUGUAUCUUUACUUCAAGUUAGAUGUUCAUAUGUUAUGUAUGAAAGACAUAUGUAUGCAUUGUUCACUAUUUCGAUUUCUUUAAAACAAUGUAAUUGUUGGAGUUCAGGUGUUUGAGUGACUAGGUGCAUUCUUGUCAAAUAAAUAUGCUUAUUCAUUCAU